GUCUCCCCUACAUAUAUACUAUAAAAUUGGAACGAUAGAGAAGAUUAGUGUAACCUUUACACAAGGAUGACACGCAAAAUCGUGAAGCGUUUCACAUUUUU